UCCUUGGUGGCUUUUCGUAGAGUUGUGAGUUGGCCUAUAAAUAUUAUUUCCCUCAUUCAUUUUUAGAGUUGAUUUUUCCUUCGUUCAAGUCCUUUCAUAUGAGAGAGUUACAAACACAAGAUGGUUCGCCAGGCCCUCCAAUUGAAGUGCUGCUUUGGGGGGAUUCCGAUCAAGUAGUGCUGGGAGACAGUCAUGUCGUCCAAUGCAAACCGUGAGCACCGUAGUGGGGGCGAAAUUUGUCUUUUAAGUACAAAGUGUCACACACAAACACUCGCCUUGAUCACCAACUGAUUUCCAUCAAUUUCCAGGUUUUGAGUUCCGAUUUUAUUGCACUCAUGUAAUUGGUUUCAUCACAAAUAGUAAACACAUGUUUUUCCAACACAGGCAACCCUAAACCCGCCCCUACCACCACCGGCGCACCACCACCGUCUCUUCUUUCUCACAGAAGAAGAAGGCGCUGAUUGAGAAAAAAAGAAGAGGAAGAAGGCAUUCGUAAAGCCAAUUAUGAAGAAGCAGCCAACUGUGGUUCAUUUCACAGGCGAUAAGAUCCCGAAAAGCUUUGUUUUUUCGAGAGGGAAGUUGCCCGGUUCAGAUGGACUUGUGAAAGUUGAUGCUUCCUUAUGCUGCUCUUAAGCUUAAGAAGAUAUGGCAAACAGAAAACGCAGGAAACCAAGGUAGAGCAAAAGCAAGAAGAUGAGGAAGUUAUUGUGAAAGAUUAGCUGUAAACCAUCUUCAAACGAAAAUAGGAGGCAGUUCUUAUUUUAUUUUUGAGGAUACUUUUGUAUGACAGUUUUCGAGUCGUUUGGUUGGUCUCUCUCGCUCUCUAGGGCUGGACAGGCGGAUGUGGACAACUCCAGAGGGUGCACAAUAUCAAAUAGCUUCCCAAUUUUGUAUUUGAAGAAAUGAGAAGAGUGGUGCCAUCUUUGUUUCUAUUGCGUUUGAGAAGAAAUUAGCUGUUGAUCCAUUUACAAGAUAAGUGCAGAGUUUUGUUGGCAUAGGGAAAUGUGUAUUUUG